AGAACGAACGCUGGCGGCGUGGAUAAGACAUGCAAGUCGAACGAGGUAGUUUGGUAGCAAUAUCAAACUGCCUAGUGGCAAACGGGUGCGUAACACGUAGGUUACAUUCCGGAAAGUGUGGGAUAGCCCAGGGAAACUUGGAUUAAUACCGCAUGUGAUCGCAAGAUCAAAGGCGAAAGCCGCUUUCUGAUUGGCCUGCGCCCUAUCAGCUAGUUGGUGAGGUAAUGGCUCACCAAGGCAACGACGGGUAGCUGGUCUGAGAGGACGACCAGCCACACUGGAACUGAGACACGGUCCAGACACCUACGGGUGGCAGCAGUCGAGAAUCUUUCACAAUGGGGGC
rnacentral:rRNA from 1 species